rnacentral:rRNA from 1 species
ACGAACGCUGGCGGCGUGCUUAACACAUGCAAGUCGAACGGGUCUGCCCUGUUUUUUGCGGGGUGGGUCAGUGGCGAACGGGUGAGUAACACGUGAGUAACCUGCCCCUCACUUCUGGAUAACCGCUUGAAAGGGUGGCUAAUACGGGGUGUUCUGGCUGUGCCGCAUGGUGUGGCUGGGAAAGAUUCACUUUUGUGGUGUUUUGGUGGGGGAUGGGCUGGCGGCCUAUCAGCUUGUUGGUGGGGGGAUGGCCUGCCAAGGCUUUGACGGGUAGCCGGCCUGGGAGGGUGGGCGGUCACACUGGGACUGAGAUACGGCCCAGACUCCUGCGGGAGGCAGCAGUGGGGGGUAUUGCACAAUGGGCGGAAGCCUGAUGCAGCGACGUCGCGUGAGGGAUGGAGGCCUUCGGGUUGUGAACCUCUUUCGCCGGUGAAGAAGGUCCUGCUCUUUGUGGUGGGGUUGACGGUAGCCGGGUUAUGAAGCGCCGGCUAACUACGUG